ACAGACAUCUAAGGGCAUGACCGUUCAAGAAGAAAAUGUAGCCAUUGGUGCCAUCUAUCGACCACAGGUUAAAGUUUGGCGAUCCGUUGGAUACCGACCGAGUUAUAGGCAAAACAUGGUGCAAAAAUGAAGAAAAUUUUACAUUUUCUCAAACAGGGUAUGGAACUUGGUUCCUCGAAUAACUUCUGGCACAGACAUCUAAGGGCAUGGCUGUCCAAAAAGAAAAUGUAGCCAUUGGUGCCAUCUAUCGACCACAGGUUAAAGAUUGGCGAUCCGUUGGAUACCGACCGAGUUAUAGGCAAAACUUGGUGCAAAUAUGAGGAAAAUUUUCAUUUUUUUUUUUGAAUUUUUUGAUUUUUUUAUUAUUUUCCACUCUUUUUUUAUUUCAGGCAUUUUUAGAGUGCAAAGAAACUCAUUGCAACCCAUUGGCAUUAAAAUAAAACAAUUUAAUUUUUUUUGCAAAAUUUCCCAAAAAAAUCGUAAGGGGUAAGCCUUAUGAAAUUUUCGAGAGGAAAUUUUUUUUGAAAUUUUUUUCUGAUUUUUUAUUCUUUUUUUAAUUUAAAGCACUAUUUAAGUGAAAAGAAACUUAUUGCAACAAAUUCACAUCAAAAUAUAUCACAUUUAAAAUUUUUGCUACAUUGCUCAAAACUAAGGAAAAUUUUACAUUUUCUCAAACAGGGUAAGGAACUUGGUUCCUCGAAUAACUUCUGCCACAGACAUCUGAGGGCAUGGCUGUCCAAGAAGAAAAUGUAGCCAUUGGUGCCAUCUAUCGACCACAGGUUAAAGUUUGGCGAUCCGUUGGAUACCGACCGAGUUAUAGGCAAAACAUGGUGCAAAAAUGAAGAAAAUUUUACAUUUUCUCAAACAGGGUAUGGAACUUGGUUCCUCGAAUAACUUCUGGCACAGACAUCUAAGGGCAUGGCUGUCCAAAAAGAAAAUGUAGCCAUUGGUGCCAUCUAUCGACCACAGGUUAAAGUUUGGCGAUCCGUUGGAUACCGACCGAGUUAUAGGCAAAACUUGGUGCAAAAAUGAAGAAAAUUUUACAUUUUCUCAAACAGGGUAUGGAACCUGGUUCCUCGAAUAUCUUCUGGCACAGACAUCUGAGGGCAUGGCCGUCCAAGAAGAAAUUGUAGCCAUUGGUGCCAUCUAUCGACCACAGGUUAAAGAUUGGCGAUCCGUUGGAUACCGACCGAGUUAUAGGCAAAAC